rnacentral:misc_RNA from 1 species
GAUGAAGAACGCAGCGAAAUGCGAUAAGUAGUGUGAAUUGCAGAAUUCAGUGAAUCAUCGAAUCUUUGAACGCACAUUGCGCCCCUUGGUAUUCCAUGGGGCAUGCCUGUUCGAGCGUCAUUAGUACCUUCAAGCUUUGCUUGGUGUUGGGUGUUUGUCCCUCGGGACUCGCCUUAAAGUCAUUGGCAGCCAGUGUUUUGGUUUUGAAGCGCAGCACAAGUCGCGAUUCAAGGCUAUCCGCCCGCUUCCACAAGCCUUUUUCACUUUUGACCUCGGAUCAGGUAGGGAUACCCGCUGAACUUAAGCAUAUCAAUAAGCGGAGGA